rnacentral:rRNA from 1 species
CGUAGGUGGCAAGCGUUGUCCGGAUUUAUUGGGUUUAAAGGGUGCGUAGGCGGUUCCAUAAGUCAGUGGUGAAAUACGGCAGCUCAACUGUCGAGGUGCCAUUGAUACUGCGGAACUUGAGUACUGAUGAGGUAGGCGGAAUUGACGGUGUAGCGGUGAAAUGCUUAGAUAUCGUCAAGAACACCGAUAGCGAAGGCAGCUUACCAAGCAGUAACUGACGCUGAGGCACGAAAGUGCGGGGAUCAAACAGGAUUAGAUACCCUGGUAGUCCGCACAGUAAACGAUGAUUACUCGAUGUUGGCGAUACACAGCCAGCGUCUUAGCGAAAGCGAUAAGUAAUCCACCUGGGGGGUACGCCCGCAAGGGUG